AUUGAACGCUGGCGGCAUGCUUUACACAUGCAAGUCGAACGGUAACAGGUCUUCGGAUGCUGACGAGUGGCGAACGGGUGAGUAAUACAUCGGAACGUGCCUAGUAGUGGGGGAUAACUACUCGAAAGAGUAGCUAAUACCGCAUGAGAUCUACGGAUGAAAGCAGGGGACCUUCGGGCCUUGUGCUACUAGAGCGGCUGAUGGCAGAUUAGGUAGUUGGUGGGGUAAAGGCUUACCAAGCCUGCGAUCUGUAGCUGGUCUGAGAGGACGACCAGCCACACUGGGACUGAGACACGGCCCAGACUCCUACGGGAGGCAGCAGUGGGGAAUUUUGGACAAUGGGCGAAAGCCUGAUCCAGCAAUGCCGCGUGCAGGAUGAAGGCCCUCGGGUUGUAAACUGCUUUUGUACGGAACGAAAAGCCUGGGGCUAAUAUCCUCGGGUCAUGACGGUACCGUAAGAAUAAGCACCGGCUAACUACGUGCCAGCCGCCGCGGUAA
rnacentral:rRNA from 1 species